AUGUUUAAUAUCAUCAGUUAUAUUUUUCUCCCGUGCUUUCUCACACAUGUAAUAUGCAUACUUGGUUAUAUGAGUUUUUUUGUAGAUUUGAUCAGAAAAUUUGUAGGACUUGCUGGUGAUCUAGAGAUCAGAGUGGGCUUUGACUAUUGAUUAAAUUCUCUAGUCUCUCUCACUGUUUUACAUUUAUUUACCUAGAAAAAAAUCCGAGUCUCUUGCACUGUCUUAUUUUUGGGCCUUUUUAUUGUGUAGCUGGAAAAUAUAUAUAAAGUCAUGCAUGGUUUAAGAUCACGGAACAGAUUAGCCACGAGGGUGUCUCAUGGUUAAGUCAAUCACAGCUCUUGCUUCUUUGUCAUGAGAUGAUUCAUUUUUCCUCUUCUUUUUUGGGUAGAUGAAGAUGUUUUUUC
rnacentral:lncRNA from 1 species